GCAGUAAAGAAGACCCAUUUUUACAAUAAGUGAUCCAACAUGGAAGCCUGUCGAGAAUAAGAUUAUUGGAAGCAGUGGAGGCAUACGGUUCUCUUCUGAGGCAGAGGAGGGCAUUCCCAUCCUCCUUAUGGAACUACCAAGUGUACUGUGGUACACAUGCCAUGUUUAUGGUGGCUUUGUGCAUGCUUAUGGAUUGUCAUGCUAUGCCAGCAUUUGAACAAUAGACCUCAAGAUAACUGAGGAACUUUUCCAUUUCUGUGUUAGUUAAGCCAGAUUGUGAAUAUUUUCACCAUUUUUUUCUGUUUAGUUUCAGCAUUGCAUUGUUUCGAAUGGUAUUUGUGUUGGUAUCUGCAUUUAGGAAGUUGUCGAGGUCAUGACCGACAAUUGGAAUGGGUCAAGAGGUGGGCCCAUCAUGGAUCGGCUGUGACCAAAAAGCUUGCGCUGUUUGAAUGAUCAUAACAGGUCAAUCAGAGGAUUUUCCCCUGCUGGAUGGCCAUCUGUUUUAAACUUCUGUUUGUCCAUUGGGAAAGUUGUCGAAAUAGGCCGAAUUUUAGCCUGUUGCCGAUGGUGGUGCAUUUCUCGACUGCUUCCUGUACUGUAUACAUGCCCCAAGAUUGCAAGGGUGCAAUUUUGUGUUCUUCCUGAGCAUCGUGACGAAAGAACCAAACCAAAGUUCCAUAACUUUGCAUCUGCCGUCUGCUAUCCUUAUUAUGAUUUUGGGUCAGUCCGUGGCAAUCUCUAAAGAAUUUGGGAUUUUCAUCUGAAUCCAAGCUUUGACGAAUGUCCUACUCCACCCCAUUGACUGAUUUCGGGUGUGGCAUUAGUUGAAGUUGGACUCCAUGGAGUUGAAAGACCACUUACAUUUUACUGUUAUGUUUGUAGCUUUAGUUUCAUCGGGAGCUUUUAAUCAUCCUCCGACACAGCAACUGAUGUCGGUAUUUUUGAAAUUAUGAUUUUCUGUAGGAGGGAUAGCUUCCAAUGAUGUGUAUCAAGAUCAGAUUCAGCAGUUCCUAACAGCAAUGAAGUUUCGACACCUUUGGGAAAGAACUGUAUAUUGUUAUAUUCAUCAAUAGUCACAGAGGAAAAUGAAAAAAAGAAAAGAAAAAAAAAAAGUCUUAAAUCGGGAAUUUGUAGUACCCCUAUUUUUUUUGGGCCAUGGCUACUCUACAGAUGCUGGGGAAUUGCAUUUAAGGGUACAGAUUUGGCACUGCGGGGUGGGCUGGCUGAGGCUGCUGUGUUCAGCCUAGGUUUUAGCUGCUGUUACUGGCUGUUCUUCUACCUAAUCUGUUGUUGUAUGUAACAUCAAUCACAUCUGCAGAAAUUUGAAGAAAAAUCUAAUUACAGUUUCUUUUUCUUCCUCAUCUUCACCACCUCUUCUGCUAAUUUAUUCAUUUGAUUGAGAAUAAAACCGGUUGUUUCACCUAUCUAUAUUAUCCUCGUUUUUAUUUUA